UACGGAGGGUGCGAGCGUUACCCGGAUUUACUGGGCGUAAAGGGCGUGUAGGCGGAUUUCUAAGUCCGGGGCUAAAGACCAGGGCUCCACCCUGGGUUUGCCUUGGACACUGGAAAGCUCGACGGCUGGAGGGGGCAGCGGAAUUUCCGGAGUAGCGGUGACAUGCGCAGAAACCGGAAGGUACGCCAAUAGGGAAGGCAGCUGCCUGGACAGUACGUGACGCUGAGGCGCGAAAGCGUGGGGAGCAAACCGG
rnacentral:rRNA from 1 species